rnacentral:rRNA from 1 species
GACGAACGCUGGUGGCGUGCUUAACACAUGCAAGUCGAACGGGAUUUAGUAAACAGAAGCCUCGGUGGAAGAUUACUAAUGAGAGUGGCGAACGGGUGAGUAACGCGUGAGCAACCUGCCUAUGACAGUGGGAUAGCCUCGGGAAACCGGGAUUAAUACCGCAUCAAAUCGUAGAAACACAUGUUUUAACGGUCAAAGAUUUAUCGGUCAUAGAUGGGCUCGCGUCUGAUUAGCUAGUUGGUGAGAUAACAGCCCACCAAGGCGACGAUCAGUAGCCGGUCUGAGAGGAUGAACGGCCACAUUGGAACUGAGACACGGUCCAAACUCCUACGGGAGGCAGCAGUGGGGAAUAUUGCAAAAUGGGGGAAACCCUGAUGCAGCGACGCCGCGUGAACGAAGAAGGUAUUCGUAUCGUAAAGUUCUGUCCUAUGGGAAGAUAAUGACAGUACCAUAGAAGAAAGCUCCGGCUAAAUACGUG